rnacentral:rRNA from 1 species
AUUGAACGCUGGCGGCAUGCCUUACAACAUGCAAGUCGAACGGUAACAGGUCUUCGGAUGCUGACGAGUGGCGAACGGGUGAGUAAUACAUCGGAACGUGCCCGAGAGUGGGGGAUAACGAAGCGAAAGCUUUGCUAAUACCGCAUACGAUCUCAGGAUGAAAGCAGGGGACCGCAAGGCCUUGCGCUCACGGAGCGGCCGAUGGCAGAUUAGGUAGUUGGUGGGAUAAAAGCUUACCAAGCCGACGAUCUGUAGCUGGUCUGAGAGGACGACCAGCCACACUGGGACUGAGACACGGCCCAGACUCCUACGGGAGGCAGCAGUGGGGAAUUUUGGACAAUGGGCGCAAGCCUGAUCCAGCCAUGCCGCGUGCAGGAUGAAGGCCUUCGGGUUGUAAACUGCUUUUGUACGGAACGAAAAGACUCUGGUUAAUACCUGGGGUCCAUGACGGUACCGUAAGAAUAAGCACCGGCUAACUACGUGCCAGCAGCCGCGGUAAUACGUAGGGUGCGAGCGUUAAUCGGAAUUACUGGGCGUAAAGCGUGCGCAGGCGGUUAUGUAAGACAGAUGUGAAAUCCCCGGGCUCAACCUGGGAACUGCAUUUGUGACUGCAUAGCUAGAGUACGGCAGAGGGGGAUGGAAUUCCGCGUGUAGCAGUGAAAUGCGUAGAUAUGCGGAGGAACACCGAUGGCGAAGGCAAUCCCCUGGGCCUGUACUGACGCUCAUGCACGAAAGCGUGGGGAGCAAACAGG